GGAUCACUAACGGUGUUCGCCUCCAACUUUUAAUUGCUUCCGGAAGCGGGGGCGUAGCUUCAUUGCAUACUCCACUAACCGUAGUAGCUAAAUGACCUUUGACCUUGGUGCUUUACUGCCGGGAUAUUCGCUCACACAUGGCAUUGUAAGUACAUCUAUCCAUCCAUCCACUAUCAGUAUGUCUAUCUUGAGCAUGUCAACAGUGGUGGGAGGUGGGACAGGGGGUAUUAUCAGUUAUCUUAGGGGUAAAGGACUGCUUGCAACUACCUGCGACUGUACAAGGUAGGUAUCUUAUAUUAUAAUAAGGGAUAUCCAUAAUAAGCAUAAUUAUAAUAAAAGGAAAAAUAGGUGUGAUCAAAAUAAUAAACAAAAAUAGGUGUGCUAUUCCAAUGAUCGAACGGCGAAGGUCUUCAGCAGGCUCGGAUGACGUCUGUUGGUCCUGCCCACAAUGUAAGACCACCAGGAGCAUCAGACACCUCAGUUUCUUCUCUAAGAGUAGGAUUACUCUCCAACAGUGGUUGGUAGCCAUUUUGUGGUGGUCCAGAGAAUACCCUGUGACAGACAUGGCAAUGGAGGCUGAGGUGAGACCAUCCACGGGGUGUGAUAUAUACCAAUGGCUCAGAGAGGUAUGCUCAGCAAAGCUGAUCGCAACUGUUAUCCGUCUUGGAGGAGCUGGUGUUAUUGUUCAGAUCGAUGAAAGUCUGUUCCGACACAAACCUAAGGGUGGACGGGGUAGGCGACCCAGGAGUGACUUGUGGGUGUUUGGGUUGGCUGACACGUCAACAACCCCUGCCACUGGCUUUGUCCAGUUAGUGGCAGAUAGAAGAGCAGUCACACUCUUGCCUAUAAUACAGGCACAUGUUCAACCAGGCACAGUGAUACAUUCCGACUGUUGGGCCGCUUACAAUAAUGUAGCAUCGUUGCCAAAUGUUGGAUCCCAUGGCACCGUCAACCACAGUAUUGAGUUUGUGAACAGCGUCACAGGGGUACACACACAAAACAUUGAGAGCUAUUGGAAUAGAAUUAAGAUCAAGCUGAAGAGGAUGCGGGGGGUGACAGAACAACAGUUGCCAUCAUACCUUGACGAGUUCAUGUGGAGAGAGCGACUGUCAACCCCUCAAUCGAAACAAGCUGCCUUUACCCAAGUAAUGGCUGACAUCGCCACACAGUAUCCAGUCUAAGCCAAAAUCAUCUAUCUGUCCAUCCAUCAAUCAUGAUUGUAUUAUUCACUCGAUUAAUUAACUCUUCAUUGUUUUCAUCCAUCCAGGAACAUCAGUAUCAUAUCACUUUCCCUUGUUUUCACAUCCAGAAACAUCACACACAGUAUCAUCCCAGUUUUGGAUCAGUUUAUCCAUCCAGUAUCAUCUGUUUUCUUCAGCCAGUAUCAUUAAUUUUUUUCUACAAAUAA